GAUGAACGCUGGCGGCGUGCCUAACACAUGCAAGUCGAGCGAUUCUCUUCGGAGAAGAGCGGCGGACGGGUGAGUAACGCGUGGGUAACCUGCCCUGUACACACGGAUAACAUACCGAAAGGUAUGCUAAUACGAGAUAAUAUACUUUUAUCGCAUGGUAGAAGCAUCAAAGCUUUUGCGGUACAGGUUGGACCCGCGUCUGAUUAGCUAGUUGGUAAGGUAACGGCUUACCAAGGCGACGAUCAGUAGCCGACCUGAGAGGGUGAUCGGCCACAUUGGAACUGAGACACGGUCCAAACUCCUACGGGAGGCAGCAGUGGGGAAUAUUGCACAAUGGGCGAAAGCCUGAUGCAGCAACGCCGCGUGAGCGAUGAAGGCCUUCGGGUCGUAAAGCUCUGUCCUCAAGGUAGAUAAUGACGGUACUUGAGGAGGAAGCCCCGGCUAACUACGUGCCAGCCGCCGCCGUAA
rnacentral:rRNA from 1 species